rnacentral:lncRNA from 1 species
GUUCUUUGCCGUCACUCAGAGCCUCUCAGGGCCCCAAGACUCCAGGAAGAAACAAGUAUUGUAGAAGCCAAAACCCCAAGGCAAGAUGAGGAAACUGAGGCCCCACGUGGUGAAGACAAUUUUUACCCGAAUCCACCCACAACAAGAGACCAUUUGGAUAAUGUACAUUAUGGGAAGAGAACAGAGUCUCAGUGAAGAUCAUGUUUCCCCAGCAACACAGGUGCCAGGAGUAGCUGGCUCUGGUCCCAGCCCAGACUCAGAAAUCCUGAGCCACCAGACCAUUUCUAGAUUAACAAGUAAGGUGACUUCUGAGCAACUAAUGUUUUCAUUGAGAUUUGAUGAUAAGCAGCAAAGCUCAAAUGAAAGUCCAGAGUUAGUGUUGGCAGGGCGAGAUGGCUCAUGCCUGUAAUCCCAGCACUUUGGGAGGCUGAGGUGGGAGGAUCACUUGAGCCCAGGAGUUUGAGACCAGCCCGAGCUAUAUAGUGAGACCCUAUCUCUACAAAAAAUACAAAAAUUAGCUGGGCGUAGUUGUGCGUGCCUGUAGUUCUAACUACUCAGGAGGCUGACAGGGGAUGAUCGCUUAAACCCAAGAUAUCGAAGCUGCAAUGAGUUGAGAUUGCACCACUGCACUCCAGCCUGGACGGCAGAAUGAAACCUUGUCUAAAACACACACACACACACACACACACACACACACACACACACACACACACACACACACACAGAGUAUUGAUUACAGCGCUAUACCAGGUUCUAGUGUUGAGUAAGGGACAGGGAGGAGCAAUCUGUAAAGAAAUAGAGUCUCACUGGAAUUUCAUUCUUCAUUAUUUCAUACCCUUCACUUUUUCUAGACGCUAACCCCAUAUGAUACUAAAAAGUAUCUGUAUUGCAUCAGACGACGUAUCUGUGAAGUCAGAGAAUUGUGCUUUAAGAAUCUCUCAAGAGGAGAACAUAUAUUGGGCUUUCAUAAUACCAAUAACAUUUUACAUCAUGCUUCAUUUACAAGCUAUUUUCACACAUAUCACUCUAUUUAAUCUUCACAACUUGGUGAGAUAAACAAAGUAUUAUUUUCAGUAUAAUUUUCUGGAUGAGAAAAUUAUAGCUUAGAGAAGUUGUGUCUUGCACGAGAUCACAAAGCUAAUUAAGUGGAAAGGUUACUUAACAUUAACUACAAACCAGAUCUUCCACCAAGCCUUUUCCCCACCACAGGGCUUUGCUGGUUGGGGAGAAAUUGUCAUUUGGUCCCAGAACACACUUGAAGGCCACUGCCUUAAGCAACCCUUUGAGUAACAAGGAAGAAAGUAUUCCCGUAGGUCAUAAAUACUGCUUUACUAACUUCCUAAAUGUCUUCAUAAAAUCUUAGGGAAAUGGUUAAUGGACACUAAUUUUAAACUUUAAAAUAAUAUAAUUAUUGCCCUUUCUUCCAACAAUUCCACAUCUGUGAAUUCUCCUAAGAGAACCAUUAUGGAUAUGAAAAAUAUUUAGCUACAAGAGGUUUUUUGAAGCACUGUUUAUAACAGAAAACAAAUAUAAAGCUCAGCAUUGGAAAAGUGGUAAAAUGGAUUAUGCUGAACUCAUGAAAAUAAUGUCAGGGUUUCCCACACUUUGAUUAUUCAUGUGGCAUCUUCAGAAUAUUGCCAUCUGCACUAAUAUUUACUUAACAUUUUCCUUUAAAUUAAUUCAUACAUUUUACUGGAAUAAAAUUAUUUAAAGGUAUUUUUUAUUAUUAACAUAAGUAGAAAUACAGUAUUAAUUGCCUUAAAUGUCAGAUGACAAUAAAAACAAAUACAAUGAAAACAAAGUAAUGUUAUUAAUGCAUGAAUUUGGUCCCAAUACCUUGAAGAAAACAUAUGACUGAUUUAAUAAAAUCACAAGUAAUCCCUUUUUUUGCCAUCACAAACUUCACCUUUCUGCAUUAAAAAAUCUCUUUUUUCACCUCUGAUCUAUAAAAGGUUCAAUGGAAAAAAGAUAUGCAGUGUGUGUCUGACCCCAAAUCACAGUUAGAUAUAUUUAUGCAUA